rnacentral:snRNA from 1 species
UUGCUUGCUUCUGUAGCACUUACACUGCAAUUGAACAAUACAGAGAGGAUUCGCAUAGCCCUGCACAAAGAGGACAUGCAAAUUUGUGAAACUCAUAUUUUUUAA